CUUGUGAUCCACCCGCCUCAGCUUCCCAAAGUGCUGGGAUUACAGGCGUGAGCCACCGCGCCCGGCAGACCGAGGUCUUUUCAUGACUGCAUCACAGUCCAACCUUUUCCUCGUGUAGCCUGCUUUCCUUACUCCCUCAAUAGUGUAUUGAGGAAUGAAAGCAUUCCCCAGUCAACCCACUGCAUGAAAAUAUCAGAGUCUCAGAGUCUGUUUUCUGGUGAUAGUAAUUCUGUUCCUCACCACCUUCCUGUCUCUCCCAUGUACCCAUACACCUCUUGUGCAAGGUAGGCUGAAAUGAACCAACAUCAGCAGAGGCCGCGGCAGAGUGAGAGAGCUGCCCAUGCUGGGAGAAGCCCUGGUCUUUGUCUCCACAAAUGCUGAAACUGACAGUGUUUCUCCCAGAGUCCAAGUCUCCAUUAGCCAAGCCAAGAGCAGAGGAAAUGUUCUCCACUGGAGGAAAGAAGAACUGUCGACACCAGAAAAUUUCCUGCUGGAAUUCUGCCAAAGAAUAGCUGGCCGUCCUAGGGAGGUCCAUCAUUACGGAACUUUGCUGUUUGUAAAUUUAAUAAACGACUCACAUCUGCUUAUAAUAUCAUGGAAGUCUAUGUGAAAAGUACUUCUUAUAUAAAGCACAUGGCUU
rnacentral:lncRNA from 10 species